AACUUCGAAGGAAUGGCCACACAAGAAUAUUGUUGACUAAAAAUAGCCAUAAAUAGAUAGCUAUCUUUAAUCAGACAGAAGUCAUGAUAAAACCAGGAUAACAAAACAGAACAGAUAUGGUCAAGAGCUGUGACAAAAAA